UUAAUAGCCAUAGGUAAUAUUUUACUUGAGAUGCAUUAUUACUACAAAAAAAACGGUCUAUAGCGACACUUUUAAAUAUAGGUACAUGUUAAAAAAGUGCUGCUAGCUAAAAUUACCAACACUUUUAAAAAGUGUUACUAUAUGUGGGGUCGUUAGGUAUAUAGUGACAGUUAAAGAGUGUCGCUAUAACCUAAAAGAGUGCUGCUAAUUUUUCAACACUUAUUUAAGCAUUUAGCAAUCGCCGAAACUCUAUCUCGUUGGCUGCGGUAGCGGAGGAGGACGACAGUAAAGGCUCUUCGUCUAGAAUUUCAGUGGAUUGAGUGAAGAGAGAAGAAAAGAUGGUAAUUGAUUUUUCUUUUUUUUUUCUUUUUUGUUUGUAAUCGAGCCAAAUGGACUGGGUGUGGUGGGUUGAGUAGAGUAAUCUUUUAUUUUUGGUUGGAUUGGGCUUUAUAUUUAGGCAUUAGUAGAUGUGUUUUUAAGUUUUACCAUAAAUGGAACACUUACUCAAAAGUGUUCCAAACAUGUGUCCCUAUAAUCUAAUUCUGUUGUAGUGUAUCAUGCAAAUUGGAUAACCAGAAACAUGGUUGGUAACAUUUGAA
rnacentral:lncRNA from 1 species